rnacentral:rRNA from 1 species
UACGUAGGGUGCGAGCGUUAAUCGGAAUUACUGGGCGUAAAGCGUGCGCAGGCGGUUAUUUAAGGUCAGGUGUGAAAGCCCUGGGCUUAACCUAGGAAUUGCGCUUGAGACUGGAUAGCUUGGGAGUGCGGCAGAGGGAGGUGGGAAAUUCCACGUGUAGCAGUGAAAUGCGUAGAGGAUGAUGGGAGGAACACCGAUGGCGGA